rnacentral:misc_RNA from 1 species
GAUGAAGAACGCAGCGAAAUGCGAUAAGUAAUGUGAAUUGCAGAAUUCAGUGAAUCAUCGAAUCUUUGAACGCACCUUGCGCCCUUUGGCUAUUCCGAAGGGCAUGCCUGUUUGAGUAUCAUGAACACCUCAACUCUCAUGGUUUGCCAUGAUGAGCUUGGACUUUGGGGGUCUUGCCGGCCUAUGGGUCGGCUCCUCUCAAAUUAAUCAGCUUGCCAGUGUUUGGUGGCAUCACAGGUGUGAUAACUAUCUACGCUUGUGGUUUUCCAUCAGGUAACCUUCAGUGAUGGAGGUUCGCUGGGGCUCAUAAAUGUCUCUCCUCACUGAGGACAGCUUUUUUGAACGUUUGAUCUCAAAUCAGGUAGGACUACCCGCUGAACUUAAGCAUAUCAAUAAGCGGAGGA